UACAGAGGGUGCGAGCGUUAAUCGGAAUUACUGGGCGUAAAGCGCACGUAGGCGGCUUGGUAUGUCGGGUGUGAAAUCCCCGGGCUCAACCUGGGAACUGCAUCCGAAACUGCCUUGCUCGAGUAUGGGAGAGGGAAGUGGAAUUUCAGGUGUAGCGGUGAAAUGCGUAGAUAUCUGAAGGAACAUCAGUGGCGAAAGCGACUUCCUGGACGAAUACUGACGCUCAUGUGCGAAAGCGUGGGGAGCAAACAGG
rnacentral:rRNA from 1 species